CCCUACACAUGCAGUCGACGGUAGCACAGAGAGCUUGCUCUCGGGUGACGAGUGGCGGACGGGUGAGUAAUGUCUGGGAAACUGCCUGAUGGAGGGGGAUAACUACUGGAAACGGUAGCUAAUACCGCAUAACGUCGCAAGACCAAAGAGGGGGACCUUCGGGCCUCUUGCCAUCAGAUGUGCCCAGAUGGGAUUAGCUAGUAGGUGGGGUAACGGCUCACCUAGGCGACGAUCCCUAGCUGGUCUGAGAGGAUGACCAGCCACACUGGAACUGAGACACGGUCCAGACUCCUACGGGAGGCAGCAGUGGGGAAUAUUGCACAAUGGGCGCAAGCCUGAUGCAGCCAUGCCGCGUGUAUGAAGAAGGCCUUCGGGUUGUAAAGUACUUUCAGCGGGGAGGAAGGUGUUGUGGUUAAUAACCACAGCAAUUGACGUUACCCGCAGAAGAAGCACCGGCUAACUCCGUGCCAGCAGCCGCGGUAAUACGGAGGGUGCAAGCGUUAAUCGGAAUUACUGGGCGUAAGCGCACGCAGGCGGUCUGUCAAGUCGGAUGUGAAUCCCCGGGCUCAACCUGGGAACUGCAUUCGAA
rnacentral:rRNA from 1 species